rnacentral:lncRNA from 1 species
GUUUUCCAUGAAGCUAUAUUUAUUUAUUUGAGUCUACUGUGUUUUUUGCAUGUUUAUUUUGCUUUUUUUCCCUUUGUUUGGCACUUAUUACUUAAAAAAUCAAAAUAUAGUUGAUUUACAAUAUUAUAUUAGUUUCAGGUGUACAGCAUAGUGAUUCAGUAUUUUUGCAGAUUCAUUCCAUUAUAGGUUAUUACAAAAAAAUGGUAAUAUAAUUCCCUGUGCUGUACAGCACUUACACUGUAUAAAAUGAUUUCUCCCUUCUAAGCUGAAAGUACAGGAUCAAGUGGGGGUGGUGGUUCUGGGUAACAGUGGUAACAAACCUGACUAGUACCUGUGAGGAUGUGGGUUUGUUCCCUGGCCCCACUCAGUGGGUUAAGGAUCUAGUGUUGCCUUGAGCUGUGGUGUAUGUUGCAGACUUGGCUCGGAUCCCACAUUGCUGUGGCUGUAGCAUAGGCCUGCAGCUGUAGGUCUGAUUUGACCCCUAGCCUGAGAACUUCCAUAUGCCAGGGGUGUUGCCCUAAAAAGCAAAGAAAAAAAAAGGAGGGGGGUUUCUGUUCACUUUGCAUCCUAUUUUCUGCACUAUCACUGUGUGAUGAAUCAGUGAACAAACAAAUGCAAAAAAUAUUCCCUAAACUGCUAUUAACUCAAUUUAUGUGUAUUAGAAACUGAAUUUCUGACCCAGGUUUUUGUUCCUUUUUUAUUCAACUUUAGCCUAAAGAUUCAGUGUUCUCAUGCCUUAGGGAAAAGUGAUUCGAAGCAAUCUAUUUUAUACUCAGAAGAUUUAAAGAAUUUUAGAAUAUAUUGGAAUAAUGGGAAAUUAACAUAUGUGGAUGGCACUGUAUGGAUCACAGGGAAUAUAUAUUUUCCCAAAGAUAGAAAAAUUAAGUUCAGAUUCCUCUGAAACGGGUGAAUAUUUAAGUCCCUUCAACCUAAAGAAUUCUCAGACAAGGAAAUAGAAUAGUUUGCCCCAAGGCACAGCAGUUCUUUUUAAUAACAUGACACCCAACUUCUAAAAUGCUCCCUUUCCAAGAUCUACCAGCCAAUCUGAAGUGAAUUUCAUGUCAAAGUCAAGAUCAUAGAUUGUAUCAUCUUGACUUUAUUACCUUUUCUAUUUUACAGGCCAUAUCGAUUUGAACCAUAAAGGGAGGUUAAAAUAUAUAAUUAACAUCAUUAUGCCUCAUCCAAAUCUCACAGAAUUUUACAGCAUUUUCUUUCAAACGGAGUUAUAAAACACAGAGGUAUUAGAGGCCAAAUAGCACCAUUUCUGUUGACUAUUUGAACUGUCAUGACAACUCUCUGUCACAUGGCAGGCAUCUAUGCUUGAGAAGUUCCAACUCUUAGGCAUUGUAUAGGUCUCUGCAAAGUGGUCCUGUUACAAGCUAUCAAAGAUGUACAUUCUAGAAACAUUCAUUAAUUUAUCCAAAUGUGGCCUCUUGGGACAAUACAGGCUAAGGUAGAAUCCCUCUUUCAAAGAAACAUACAUGCAAACAUUCUUUGAAGAUUUAAAAGAUUUGUUCAUUAAGAUUCUAUCCAUCUGUUUUUCAGGCUAACAUUCCAAUUUCCAUCCAUUCCUCAAGUAACAUCAUCUUGAGUCAUUUACUCCCCUGACCAUCCUUCUCUGAAUACCUUCCAAAAUGCUCAUCAGAUUUCUUUUAAUAGUUGGUAACUUCCCCUGAGCAGAGUGAUUCAAUAUAAUUUGACCAGCCUGAAGUAGGGGAAGAUGAUGGUCUCCCUCAUUCCAUUAAUGAAGAUUAUGGUUUACAUAUUACCUUCUUGGGAGACCUUCAUAUUGAGAUUGUUGUUGGUUAUUUAAAUACAUAUUGUUACUAAGCCAAUAGCUCUCUGAUGCUCCAAUGUACACUUGAUUUUGGAACCAUAUCAAACUCUACAUUUAUUUCUAUUAUAUAUCCUUUUCCUCUUUCUCUUUGUCCUUUAACAUUUUUUUUUGGCUGAAACUUAGAAAAAAUUCAUCUGUGCACUAUCCUCAAAUGGGAUACACAGAGCUUUUAUCAUUCUUAUGCACAUCAUUAACCAAAAACCCAAACAGCUCCAGGGUCAUGAAAAGGAGUGUGGAGCAUGCCACAAAAACCUUCUUUAUAUUGGGGGCAAUAUUUCAAUCAGGAUCUAAUCCACCACACAAUGUUUACAUUCAGAACACAUUUUUCUACCUUUUCCACAAGGGAAAAUGAGAAACCUUGGGAAAAAUUUACAUAUGCUAAAAGUAAAAGAAUGUUUUACCAAAAAAUAAGGCAGAGAAAAAUGUAUCAUUGUAUUGCUCAAACUAUGUGUACUGGGUUAAAUAGUGCCCUCCCCCAUCCCCCAAGUUCAUAUCCAUCCAGAACCUGGAAUAUGACUUUAUUUGGAGAUAGGGUCUUUGCACAUGAAAUCAAGUUAAGAUAAGGUCAUCCUGGGAUUUGUGCAAUGACUAGUACCCUUAUAAGGAAACAAAGAUUUGGAUGCAGAUACAGACACAGAAUGAAGAUGGUCAUAUGAAUAUGAAUACAGAGAAUGGAGUUGUGCCACCAUAAGCCAAGAAACGCCACACGGCACAUGCAAUUUAUUACAGUAGUUCUCAGAAACUAAUGCAUUGAAAUAUAUAUAUUGUGUAUCAUAUGGAAAAUGCUCACCUUUUGCUUUCUACCUGCCCAAAUCAUAUGGGGAAAGUAUAUUCCUUGCCUCUGUCUACUUCGAUUCGAUUUACAUCUCUCCCUUCCACUUCUCAGUUAUUAAAAUGAGAACUACACAGUUUAGAACCUAGCAAUAUAUUCAUUAUCAUGUUCUACAGUUACUUCCUGAGUGAUACUCUUAAAUUCCAAUUAGAUUAUAACCUUAAUGAGGGUAGGAAUAAUAUUGUGGUUUUGAUUCCAUACAACACCAAACCCCAACUAUGCCCAGUGUUGUUACAUACAACAGGAAUGCUUUGGGGAGAUCCAGAGGCUACCAAUGACUCUAAGGUCAUAGAGCCCUCUACUUCCAUUUCAUUAGCAGCCCUUAUUAAAUGCAAAGCAAGGUCACUUGGAACUAGGUCUCCCCUCACUUCUCUUCACUUUCACAUUGCAAAGAAAUUGAAGGCCCACAUUCCAGGGAACUUGAGCUGGGACCUCUUUACAUGCAGAUAUCAGAAAGCUAAUACUCCAAUGGCUCAGGAGUAUCCUUUCCAAUAAUCCACUUCAUCAGUGAAAGCCAAGUCACUUUCUAUUAAAAAGUGAGUUGUGAAAUCUUGUCUGUCUUCUAACAGAUCUUUUCCCAACAAUACCAUACACAUGGCCAUGUAGCAAUCACACAAAGGCACAGCACCUUUCUUCUGCCAAGGUAACUGAUCCACUU